GCAGGUCUCCUGCCGCUAGGAACCCAUAUAACCUUUUUGCAAUAGCAUUAACCCUCUGAAACAAACAAAAUUAUUUACAACUUUCAACAAUGGAUCUCUUGGUUCUGGCAUCGAUGAAGAACGCAGCGAAAUGCGAUAAGUAGUGUGAAUUGCAGAAUUCAGUGAAUCAUCGAAUCUUUGAACGCACAUUGCGCCCCUCGGUAUUCCGUGGGGCAUGCCUGUUCGAGCGUCAUUUACCCCCUCAAGCUCUGCUUGGUGUUGGGCGUCUGUCCCGCCUCGUGCGCGGACUCGCCUUAAAGGUAUUGGCAGCGGUCGUGCCAGCUUCUCGCGCAGCACAUUGCGCUUCUCGGGGCUUCGGCGGAUCAGCGUCCAUUAAGCUUACUUCCACAUUUUGACCUCGGAUCAGGUAGGGAUACCCGCUGAACUUAAGCAUAUCAAUAAGCGGAGGAAAAGAAACCAACAGGGAUUGCCCUAGUAACGGCGAGUGAAGCGGCAACAGCUCAAAUUUGAAAUCUGGCUCUCUUUGGGGGUCCGAGUUGUAAUUUGCAGAGGGUGCUUUGGCGUCGGCAGCGGUCUAAGUUCCUUGGAACAGGACAUCACAGAGGGUGAGAAUCCCGUACGUGGUCGCCUGCCUUCGCCGUGUAAAGCCCCUUCGACGAGUCGAGUUGUUUGGGAAUGCAGCUCUAAAUGGGAGGUAAAUUUCUUCUAAAGCUAAAUACUGGCCAGAGACCGAUAGCGCACAAGUAGAGUGAUCGAAAGAUGAAAAGCACUUUGGAAAGAGAGUCAAACAGCACGUGAAAUUGUUGAAAGGGAAGCGCUUGCAGCCAGACUUGCCCGUAGUUGCUCAUCGGAACUUUUGCUCCGAGCAUUCUUCUGCGGGCAGGCCAGCAUCAGUUUGGGCGACCGGAUAAAGGCCUCUGUCAU
rnacentral:rRNA from 1 species